rnacentral:rRNA from 1 species
UCGAUCUCACGCGACGACGGGUAGCCGGCCUGAGAGGGCGACCGGCCACACUGGGACUGAGACACGGCCCAGACUCCUACGGGAGGCAGCAGUGGGGAAUAUUGCACAAUGGGCGAAAGCCUGAUGCAGCGACGCCGCGUGAGGGAUGACGGCCUUCGGGUUGUAAACCUCUUUCAGCAGGGAAGAAGCGCAAGUGACGGUACCUGCAGAAGAAGCGCCGGCUAACUACGUGCCAGCAGCCGCGGUAAUACGUAGGGCGCAAGCGUUGUCCGGAAUUAUUGGGCGUAAAGAGCUCGUAGGCGGCUUGUCACGUCGGAUGUGAAAGCCCGGGGCUUAACCCCGGGUCUGCAUUCGAUACGGGCUAGCUAGAGUGUGGUAGGGGAGAUCGGAAUUCCUGGUGUAGCGGUGAAAUGCGCAGAUAUCAGGAGGAACACCGGUGGCGAAGGCGGAUCUCUGGGCCAUUACUGACGCUGAGGAGCGAAAGCGUGGGGAGCGAACAGGAUUAGAUACCCUGGUAGUCCACGCCGUAAACGUUGGGAACUAGGUGUUGGCGACAUUCCACGUCGUCGGUGCCGCAGCUAACGCAUUAAGUUCCCCGCCUGGGGGAGUACGGA